rnacentral:misc_RNA from 1 species
GAUGAAGAACGUAGCGAAAUGCGAUACGUAAUGUGAAUUGCAGAAUUCAGUGAAUCAUCGAAUCUUUGAACGCAUAUUGCGCUCUUUGGUAUUCCGAAGAGCAUGCUUGUUUGAGUAUCAGUAAACACCUCAACCUCUUCUUGAUUUUUCAAAAGGAGGGUGGACUUGAGCUAUCCCAACAACCUUUACCGGUCGGCUGGCGGCUUGAAAUGCAGGUGCAGCUGGACUUUUAUCUGAGCUAAAAGCAUAUCUAUUUAGUCCUCGUCAAACAGGAUUAUUACUUUUGCUGCAGCUAACAUAAAGGAUAAUUGUCCUCUUUGCUGACUGAUGCAGGAUUUUACGACACUUUAUGUGUUGUUCAGCUCGAUCUCAAAUCAAGUAAGACUACCCGCUGAACUUAAGCAUAUCAAUAAGCGGAGGA